AGCAGCCGCGGUAAUUCCAGCUCCAAUAGCGUAUAUUAAAGUUGUUGCAGUUAAAAAGCUCGUAGUUGAAUUUCGGGAUCAAUUUAUCGGUCGUGCAAUAGUACGUACUGGUUUUAUUGGUUCCUACCUUCUGAUGAACCAUGAUGUCAUUAAUUUGGUGUCAUGGGGAAUCAGGACUGUUACUUUGAAAAAAUUAGAGUGUUUAAAGCAGGCUCACGCUUGAAUACAUUAGCAUGGAAUAAUGAAAUAGGACGUUUGAUUCUAUUUUGUUGGUUUCUAGGAUCGACGUAAUGAUUAAUAGGGAUAGUUGGGGGCAUUAGUAUUCAAUUGUCAGAGGUGAAAUUCUUGGAUUUAUUGAAGACUAACUACUGCGAAAGCAUUUGCCAAGGAUGUUUUCAUUAAUCAAGAACGAAAGUUAGGGGAUCGAAGACGAUCAGAUACCGUCGUAGUCUUAACCAUAAACUAUGCCGACUAGGGAUCGGAUGAUGUAAUUUUUUAAUGACUCAUUCGGC
rnacentral:rRNA from 1 species